AGAGUUUGAUCCUGGCUCAGGACGAACGCUGGCGGCGUGCUUAACACAUGCAAGUCGAACGAUGAAGCCUUCGGGUGGAUUAGUGGCGAACGGGUGAGUAACACGUGGGUGAUCUGCCUCGUACUUCGGGAUAAGCUUGGGAAACUGGGUCUAAUACCGGAUAUGACCAGGGGCUGCAUGGUUUCUGGUGGAAAGAUUUAUCGGUGCGAGAUGAGCCCGCGGCCUAUCAGCUUGUUGGUGGGGUAAUGGCCUACCAAGGCGACGACGGGUAGCCGGCCUGAGAGGGCGAUCGGCCACACUGGGACUGAGACACGGCCCAGACUCCUACGGGAGGCAGCAGUGGGGAAUAUUGCACAAUGGGCGCAAGCCUGAUGCAGCGACGCCGCGUGAGGGAUGACGGCCUUCGGGUUGUAAACCUCUUUCGGCAGGGACGAAGCGUGAGUGACGGUACCUGCAGAAGAAGCACCGGCCAACUACGUGCCAGCAGCCGCGGUAAUACGUAGGGUGCGAGCGUUGUCCGGAAUUACUGGGCGUAAAGAGCUUGUAGGCGGUUCGUCGCGUCGCUCGUGAAAACUGGCAGCUCAACUGUCAGCUUGCGGGCGAUACGGGCGGACUAGAGUACUGCAGGGGAGACCGGAAUUCCUGGUGUAGCGGUGAAAUGCGCAGAUAUCAGGAGGAACACCGGUGGCGAAGGCGGGUCUCUGGGCAGUAACUGACGCUGAGAAGCGAAAGCGUGGGUAGCGAACAGGAUUAGAUACCCCGGUAGUCC
rnacentral:rRNA from 1 species